rnacentral:rRNA from 1 species
AUACGGAGGGUGCAAGCGUUAUCCGGAUUCAUUGGGUUUAAAGGGUACGUAGGCGGAUAGAUAAGAUAGUGGUGAAAUCCCGAAGCUCAACUUCGGAACUGCCAUUAAAACUGUCUAUCUUGAAUUUGGUUGAAGUGGGCGGAAUAUGACAUGUAGCGGUGAAAUGCAUAGAUAUGUCAUGGAACACCGAUAGUGAAGACAGCUCACUAAGCCAAUAUUGACGCUGAGGUACGAAAGCAUGGGUAGCGAACAGGAUUAGAAACCCCAGUAGUCC